rfam:Heterocephalus glaber contig46488, whole genome shotgun sequence.
GAUGUAGCUCAGCGGCACAGCACCUGUUUGGCAAGCAGGAGGCCCUGAGUUCAAUUCCCAGUGUC